rnacentral:rRNA from 1 species
GUCCAUGCCUUAAACGAUGAAUACUAGACGUUGGGGUCAAACUCAGUGUCGCAGCUAACGCAUUAAGUAUUCCACCUGGGGAGUACGAUCGCAAGGUUGAAACUCAAAGGAAUUGACGGGGGCCCGCACAAGCAGUGGAGCAUGUGGUUCAAUUCGAUGCAACGCGAAGAACCUUACCUUGGCUUGACAUGUAAGCUAAGGCGAAUGAAAGUUCGCGUCCCGCAAGGGGAGCUUACACAGGUGCUGCAUGGCUGUCGU